GAAAUGGUAGCUCAGUGGUAGAGUGCAUGCUUGGUAUGAAUUAUAUCCUGGGUUCAAUCCCCAGCUUCUCA